AGAAAGUUACUUCGGUACAUCGGUGACAGUGGUGCAUGGUUGUCGUCAGCUCGUGUCGUGAGAUGUUGGGUUAAGUCCCGCAACGAGCGCAACCCCUAUUGUUAGUUGCCAUCAUUCAGUUGGGCACUCUAGCGAGACUGCCGGUAAUAAACCGGAGGAAGGUGGGGAUGACGUCAAAUCAUCAUGCCCCUUAUGACCUGGGCUACACACGUGCUACAAUGGUUGGUACAACGAGUUGCGAGUCGGUGACGGCGAGCUAAUCUCUUAAAGCCAAUCUCAGUUCGGAUUGUAGGCUGCAACUCGCCUACAUGAAGUCGGAAUCGCUAGUAAUCGCGGAUCAGCACGCCGCGGUGAAUACGUUCCCGGGCCUU
rnacentral:rRNA from 1 species